UAGCUUAACUGUGGGAAUUGCUGGAGAUACUAUUAGACUUGAGACCGGGAGAGGUUAGAGGUACUCCCAGGGUAGAGGUGAAAUUCUGUAAUCCUGGGAGGACCGCCUGUUGCGAAGGCGUCUAACUGGAACGGUUCUGACGGUGAGGGACGAAAGUUAGGGGCGCGAACCGGAUUAGAUACCCGGGUAGUCCUAACUGUAAACGAUGCGGACUUGGUGUUGGGGUGGCUUUGAGCUGCUCCAGUGCCGAAGGGAAGCUGUUAAGUCCG
rnacentral:rRNA from 1 species